rnacentral:misc_RNA from 1 species
UACGAAGGGCCCGAGCGUUAAUCGGAAUCAUUGGGCUUAAAGCGUACGUAGGCGGAUAUGCAAGCGUCGGGUGAAAUCCCUCGGCUCAACCGAGGAAUUGCUCGGCGAACUGCAUGUCUUGAGGCAAGUAGAGGCGGUCGGAACGAUAGGUGGAGUGGUGAAAUGCGUUGAUAUCUAUCGGAACGCCGAAGGUGAAGACAGGCCGCUGGGCUUGUUCUGACGCUCAUGUACGAAAGCGUGGGGAGCGAACGGG